UCUGGUGGCGAUGCGCUUGGGGGAAACACCCGUACACAUCCCGAACACGAUGGUUAAGACCCAAACGGUACCGAUGAUACUAUACUGGAGACGGUAUGGGAAAGCAGGUGGCUGCCAGAU
rnacentral:rRNA from 1 species